GAUGAACGCUAGCGGCAGGCCUAAUACAUGCAAGCCGAACGGUAAGAUUGGUAGCAAUACUGAUCUGAGAGUGGCGUACGGGUGCGUAACACGUAUGCAACCUACCCAGAACUGGAGGAU
rnacentral:rRNA from 1 species